CCUACGGGUGGCAGCAGUGGGGAAUAUUGGACAAUGGGCGAAAGCCUGAUCCAGUCAUGCCGCGUGUGUGAAGAAGGCCUUCGGGUUGUAAAGCACUUUCAGUGGGGAAGAAAGCCUUGGGGCUAAUACCCUCGAGGAAGGACAUCACCCACAGAAGAAGCACCGGCUAACUCCGUGCCAGCAGCCGCGGUAAUACGGAGGGUGCGAGCGUUAAUCGGAAUUACUGGGCGUAAAGCGCGCGUAGGCGGUCUGAUAAGCCGGUUGUGAAAGCCCCGGGCUCAACCUGGGAACGGCAUCCGGAACUGUCAGGCUAGAGUGCAGGAGAGGAUGGUAGAAUUCCCGGUGUAGCGGUGAAAUGCGUAGAGAUCGGGAGGAAUACCAGUGGCGAAGGCGGCCUUCUGGACUGACACUGACGCUGAGGUGCGAAAGCGUGGGUAGCAAACAGGAUUAGAUACCCCUGUAGUC
rnacentral:rRNA from 1 species